rnacentral:rRNA from 1 species
ACCAUGCAAGUCGAACGAGAAAUUCCGGGCUUGCUCGGGAGAGUAAAGUGGCCAAUGGGUGAGUAACGCGUGGGUAACCUGCCCCUGAAUCUGGAAUAACUUCGCGAAAGCGAGGCUAAUACCGGAUAUUGUCCCAGGGACUGUGGUCCUUGUGAUGAAAGAUGACCUCUUCACGAAAGUUGUCGUUCAGGGAGGGGCCCGCGUACCAUUAGCUAGUUGGUAGGGUAAUGGCCUACCAAGGCGAUGAUGGUUAGCUGGUCUGAGAGGAUGACCAGCCACACUGGCACUGAAACACGGGCCAGACUCCUACGGGAGGCAGCAGUGAGGAAUUUUGCGCAAUAGGGGAAACCCUGACGCAGCAACGCCGCGUGAGUGAAGAAGGCCCUCGGGUCGUAAAGCUCUGUCAAGUGGGAAAAAAGCUUGCUGGUAAAUAGCCAGCAAGACUGAUGGUACCGCUGAAGGAAGCACCGGCUAACUCCGUGCCAGCAGCCGCGGUAAUACGGAGGGUGCAAGCGUUGUUCGGAAUUACUGGGCGUAAAGGGCGUGUAGGCGGUGUGGUAAGUCAGAUGUGAAAGCCCUGGGCUUAACCCAGGAAGUGCAUUUGAAACUGCCAUGCUUGAGUAUGGGAGAGGAGAGUGGAAUUCCCAGUGUAGAGGUGAAAUUCGUAGAUAUUGGGAGGAACACCCGUGGCGAAGGCGACUCUCUGGACCAAUACUGACGCUGAGGCGCGAAAGCGUGGGGAGCAAACAGGAUUAGAUACCCUGGUAGUCCACGCUGUAAACGAUGAGC